rnacentral:rRNA from 2 species
UGCUUUAUGAAAGAAUAUAAGGUAUAACCUGCUCAAUGAAAAUAAAUAGCUGCAGUAUUCUGUACUAAGGUAGCAUAAUCACUUGGCAUUUUAUUGAUGUCUAGAAUGAAAGGUCUAAUGAAUUUGUAAUUUUCUUCUUAUUAUCUAUUUAAAUUAAUUUAUUAGUAAAAAAGCUAAUAUAUCUUUUAGGGACGAGAAGACCCUAUAAAGCUAAAAGUCUGAGAAUCUUGAGAUAUUUAUGACUUUGAUUGGGGCAAUCCAUUAAGAUUUUAGCUUAAUUUUUGAGCCAAGAAUCUUGAUUAAUAAGAAAGUUACUUUAGGGAUAACAGCAUAAUAAGAAAAAAAGAGUUCCUAUCUUUUUAUCUGAUUAUGACCUCGAU